rnacentral:rRNA from 1 species
UCAAGUAAUUAAGUGCAUGUGGUGGAUGCCUUGGCAGUCAGAGGCGAUGAAAGACGUGAUAGCCUGCGAAAAGCUCCGGGGAGGCGGCAAAUAUCCUUUGAUCCGGAGAUGUCUGAAUGGGGGAACCCACCUACUUUAAGGUAGGUAUUGCAACAUGAAUACAUAGUGUUGCAAGGCGAACGAGGGGAAGUGAAACAUCUCAGUACCCUUAGGAAAAGAAAUCAAUUGAGAUUCCCUCAGUAGCGGCGAGCGAACGGGGAUCAGCCCAUUAAGUUAUGUGUGUUUUAGUGGAACGCUCUGGGAAGUGCGAACGUAGAGGGUGAUAUUCCCGUACACGAAAGGGCACACAUAAUGAUGACGAGUAGGGCGAGGCACGUGAAACCUUGUCUGAAUAUGGGGGGACCAUCCUCCAAGGCUAAAUACUCCUGACUGACCGAUAGUGAACCAGUACCGUGAGGGAAAGGCGAAAAGAACCCCUGUGAGGGGAGUGAAAUAGAUCCUGAAACCGCAUGCAUACAAGCAGUGGGAGCACCUUUGUGGUGUGACUGCGUACCUUUUGUAUAAUGGGUCAGCGACUUAUAUUCAGUAGCGAGGUUAACCGUAUAGGGGAGCCGUAGAGAAAUCGAGUCUUAAUAGGGCGUUUAGUUGCUGGGUAUAGACCCGAAACCAGGCGAUCUAUCCAUGAGCAGGUUGAAGGUUGGGUAACACUAACUGGAGGACCGAACCCACUGUCGUUGAAAAGCCAGGGGAUGACUUGUGGAUAGGGGUGAAAGGCUAAUCAAGCUUGGUGAUAGCUGGUUCUCCCCGAAAGCUAUUUAGGUAGCGCCUCGGACGAAUACCAUAGGGGGUAGAGCACUGUUUCGGCUAGGGGGUCAUCCCGACUUACCAAACCGAUGCAAACUCCGAAUACCUAUGAGUACUAUCCGGGAGACAGACUGCGGGUGCUAACGUCCGUAGUCAAGAGGAAAACAAUCCAGACCGCCAGCUAAGGCCCCAAAAUCAUAGUUAAGUGGGAAACGAUGUGGGAAGGCAUAGACAGCUAGGAGGUUGGCUUAGAAGCAGCCACCCUUUAAAGAAAGCGUAAUAGCUCACUAGUCGAGUCGGCCUGCGCGGAAGAUGUAACGGGGCUAAAACUAUGUGCCGAAGCUGCGGAUGUAUACUUUGUAUACGUGGUAGGGGAGCGUUCUGUAAGCCGAUGAAGGUGUGUUGAGAAGCAUGCUGGAGGUAUCAGAAGUGCGAAUGCUGACGUGAGUAACGACAAAACGGGUGAAAAACCCGUUCGCCGAAAGACCAAGGGUUCCAGUCCAACGUUAAUCGGGGCUGGGUGAGUCGACCCCUAAGGCGAGGCCGAAAGGCGUAGUCGAUGGGAAAAUGGUUAAUAUUCCAUUACUUCUGUGUAAUGCGAUGAGAGGACGGAGAAGGCUAAAUCAGCCUGGCGUUGGUUGUCCAGGUGAAAGGAUGUAGGCAUGUAUCUUAGGCAAAUCCGGGGUACUCUAUGCUGAGAUCUGAUAGCAAGCUGUACUUGUACAGCGAAGUGGUUGAUGCCAUGCUUCCAGGAAAAGUCUCUAAGCUUCAGUUACACAGGAAUCGUACCCGAAACCGACACAGGUGGUCAGGUCGAGUAGACCAAGGCGCUUGAGAGAACUCUGCUGAAGGAACUAGGCAAAAUGGUACCGUAACUUCGGGAGAAGGUACGCUGUUGUUGGUGAUGGAACUCGCUUCCUGAGCUGACGACAGCCGCAGAAACCAGGCCGCUGCAACUGUUUAUUAAAAACAUAGCACUCUGCAAACACGAAAGUGGACGUAUAGGGUGUGAUGCCUGCCCGGUGCUGGAAGGUUAAUUGAUGGGGUUAGCGUAAGCGAAGCUCUUGAUCGAAGCCCCAGUAAACGGCGGCCGUAACUAUAACGGUCCUAAGGUAGCGAAAUUCCUUGUCGGGUAAGUUCCGACCUGCACGAAUGGCAUAAUGAUGGCGGCGCUGUCUCCAGCAGAGGCUCAGUGAAAUCGAAAUCGCUGUGAAGAUGCAGUGUACCCGCGGCUAGACGGAAAGACCCCGUGAACCUUUACUGCAGCUUGACACUGAACUUUGACCUUACUUGUGUAGGAUAGGUGGGAGGCUUUGAAGCUGGAACGCUAGUUCCAGUGGAGCCGUCCUUGAAAUACCACCCUGGUAAUGUUGAGGUUCUAACUCUGUCCCGUGAUCCGGGACGAGGACCGUGUCUGGUGGGUAGUUUGACUGGGGCGGUCUCCUCCUAAAGAGUAACGGAGGAGUACGAAGGUGCGCUCAGCGUGGUCGGAAAUCACGCGUAGAGUAUAAAGGCAAAAGCGCGCUUAACUGCGAGACCCACAAGUCGAGCAGGUACGAAAGUAGGUCUUAGUGAUCCGGUGGUUCUGUAUGGAAGGGCCAUCGCUCAACGGAUAAAAGGUACUCUGGGGAUAACAGGCUGAUACCGCCCAAGAGUUCAUAUCGACGGCGGUGUUUGGCACCUCGAUGUCGGCUCAUCUCAUCCUGGGGCUGAAGCAGGUCCCAAGGGUAUGGCUGUUCGCCAUUUAAAGAGGUACGCGAGCUGGGUUUAGAACGUCGUGAGACAGUUCGGUCCCUAUCUACCGUGGGCGCUGGAAAUUUGAGAGGAUCUGCUCCUAGUACGAGAGGACCAGAGUGGACGAACCUCUGGUGUACCGGUUGUGACGCCAGUCGCAUCGCCGGGUAGCUAUGUUCGGAAGGGAUAACCGCUGAAAGCAUCUAAGCGGGAAGCCUACCUCAAGAUAAGAUUUCCCUAGGACUUUAUGUCCUCUAAAGAGCCGUUCGAGACUAGGACGUUGAUAGGUUGGAUGUGGAAGCAUAGUGAUAUGUGAAGCUGACCAAUACUAAUUGCUCGUGAGGCUUGACUAU